rnacentral:sRNA from 1 species
CUUGAGCCUCAGGACCACAGUUCUGGUAGGAAGGUUGAGGAUACAAAAUAAAAACCUUAUGAUGAAAAAUCUUAUGAAGCCUUCUAGAACUCAUACCAGGAAGCUUGAAACAGAUAUGGAGAGCUAUCAAGAUCCAGUGUUGAUCAUAAGGGUGUCAGCUUCUCCUUCAGGAUUGCCAUAUCUUCAACAUCAGAGGCAACAAGAAUGGAUAUGAUUUUAGUACAUCUUUGUGGUCACCAAUGCACAUAUGGUUUCUAGCUUGUGAACAGUAUUUUGUAUGUACUUUCUGUUCCUACCAACUUCCCUACAGACUUCUACUCCAGUAUGAUGCAAGAUGACAUCAUUGGUUGAGGAUGGGCCAUUAAGAAAUUAAGAGAACUGAGCAUUCUCUUGCAGUUUCCAUUCUUUGACUCCAUUCUGAUUUGAAGAGUUAACAAAAACUAUAAACCUAGGAGUAUACAUAUAUAAGAACAAAAUUUAACAACACUUAUAGGUGUUUAACCAAAGCUACUUCAGAAACACUACCAUAUAAUAAGUCAGUUUUUAAAAUUAACAAGAAGAUUAAAUAAUUUCAAACUCUCCAGUCCUGCACCAAAAUAAUGGAGGAUUCUACUUAUCACCUAUAUGUGUAGAGAAGAGCUAGCAUGAACAGCCCCAAGAAUAGAAAAAACAUCUAAACCAGUAUCUUUAUUUUAAAAUAAGUGUCAAAUGAACACAAUCUUUGAUACUGAAAUUGUAAAUAUUUCAUGUGUGUAUGCACCCAUUCUUGUGUAUGCAGAUAUGCAUGGUAUGCAUGGUUGCCAAAGAACAACCUCAGGAGCCUUCCACCUUUUAUUUGAGACUAGGCCUUUUACUGACAUGGGAAUUUGCCACUUAUGCUAGCCUAGCUUGACACUGGGCUUCCAGGGAUAUCCCUUUCUCUUCUUCCCAUCACCAGAAUCACAGCACCACACUACCAUGUCCAGCAGCAUAAGUGGGUUCUGGGGAGCCAAGCUUAAGUCCUCUAAGUACUUUAGCCACUGAGCCAUAUCCCAAGUUUUGAAAUACUUCACAGACAUAGAAAUGCAAAUAUAGACAGCUAUAGAUACAUAGAUGAAGAUAUAGAGAUAAAGACAAUAUAGAGCUAUAGAUAGAUAUAAAAUAGAGAUAUAGACUGUAGAUAUAUAGGUGGAAAUACAGAUACAUGUAUAUAAGAUAGAUAUAGAUAAUAUAGAGCUAUACACAUAGAGAUGGAGGUAUAUGAUUAUACAUGUACACCAAUGCAAGUGUGCCCUGAGAGAAAAAUAAAACAUACUUAACUAAAAUGUCUACUAUAAACUCUGAAAUGUGUGACCAUCCUACUUCUUCCACAAGUAAACUCACUUUUGUGACCAGUGUAUCAAAUGGCUUUUGCCUCAUCUUGCUUGUGACCUGUCUGUGAAGGUCGUCCUACACUCUGGCAUUUAAGGAAAGAGUAGCUGGAAGAACAUCCUGCUGACUUACAAGUCAGAGUAGACACUGGUCACACAUACCAGGACCAUAUGCCAUCUUACUUCACUACUCUACAUCAAUUAGACUUAAGUUCUCUAAAAAGUAUUAGGUGUGCCCCAAGCUUUGGGCAACAUCAAUCCAUUGGUAUAUACAACUUUUCUUUUUCAUGUUAACUAGAGAACAAAAGACCUAAUAUCCACUAACGUUGAUAACAUAUACUGAUACUAUUAUUUUGCAUGUCUUUAACGUGUGACAGAGGCUUCUCAGAGCCUACACGCUGUAGGAAGACCACUAAUACUGAAUGUUAGACAGUAAACUUUUUACUGAAUUUUCCCUAUGUAUUGUGAAGUGAAAAAAGUCAUUAAUGACGUUGAAAAAAAGGGAAGAGUGAAGAGGGAUGAACUGACAGAACAAAACACAAACCCAGACAGAUGGAGCAACAAUACCAGAGGGGAGAAUAGAUCAUCUUAGUAGAGAACAGACCAGCUCACUGUGAGACUGAAUGAGAGUGAUGAAGAAUGGAGGGCACACACACAAUAAGUAUUAAACAUGUGUAAAGCCAAUAGUUCUGCUUAACAGCUCUCUGAAUGGUUAAGGAAAAAACUAUACAUAAAGAAAAAUAGACAGUUUCUUCACAAAAAAACUAUACUAUUCACAAAAUAAUAUGCUGUUAUAGGUCAUACUGAAUAGUAUUAGGAUCUAAGCAGACUGAAGUGUUAAACUGAUGUCUUAGUUCUUUCUCUAUUGCUAUGAUAAAUAUACCAUGAUCACAACAUCUUAGAAAAGAGACUGCAAUGGCUGGGUGAAGCCAUUGUAACAGGCAUCUGGAACAGCAGCUGGAAACUCACAACUUGGUUCACAAGCAGGAAGCAGACAGUAUGCUGGAAUGGAAUGAAUAUUUCAAAACCAAGCCUACCCCCAGGGGGACACCUUCUGCAACAAGGCCUCAUCCCGUAAUCCUUCCAAAAUAGUUCCAACAUCAGACUAAGUAUUGAAAUAUGUGAGCCUAUGAAGACUACUCUCAUUCAAACCAUCAGAGCUUUCUUCUACCAGCUCCAUCAGUUUCAGCUCAAAAUUUGAUCAUCUGUUGUUGUUACUUAUUCCUCCAUUUUCUCUGUACUAUUGCAUAACAGGAAUAAGGAGAGAAAAUAAUCAAGUGAAAAAAAGGACAGGAAAGUCAGGUUUCCUAACCGGCAUUUAUAACCUCAGUACACAGGAGGAUGAGCUAGGAGAAUCUCAAGUUCAAAGCCACUAAAAUCAGAAGUAUAAACUACAGUAUAAACUACAAUGAGAUGCUAUCACAGACACACACAC